UAGGAACAAGGAAUGACACAAACGGUCAUU
rnacentral:piRNA from 1 species